rnacentral:tRNA from 1 species
AGUUAAGAUUGAAAAAGUAUGUUUUGAAAGCAUAAAUAAGAGGUUAAAUUCCUCUAUUAACUU